rnacentral:rRNA from 1 species
UACAGAGGUGGCGAGCGUUGUUCGGCCUCACGGGGCUUAAAGCGCGUGCAGGCGGCCCGGUAAGUGUUCUGUGAAAUCCGGCGGCUCAACCGCCGAACUGCAGGGCAUACUGCCGGGCUUGAGGUUGGUAGAGGCGCCUGGAACUCUAGGUGGAGCGGUGAAAUGCGUUGAUAUCUAGAGGAACGCCGGAGGCGAAAGCGGGGCGCUGGGCCAAAACUGACGCUGAGACGCGAAAGCGUGGGGAGCAAACAGG